GAGCGGUAACAGGUGUAGCAAUACAUGCUGACGAGCGGCGAACGGGUGAGUAAUGCUUCGGAAUCUGCCCAAUGGUGGGGAAUAACCAGCCGAAAGGUUGGCUAAUACCGCAUAAGUCCUACGGGGGAAAGCAGGGGAUCGAAAGACCUUGCGCCGAUGGAUGAGCCGAAGUCGGAUUAGCUAGUUGGUAGGGUAACGGCCUACCAAGGCGACGAUCCGUAGCUGGUCUGAGAGGACGACCAGCCACACUGGGACUGAGACACGGCCCAGACUCCUACGGGAGGCAGCAGUGGGGAAUAUUGGACAAUGGGGGAAACCCUGAUCCAGCGACGCCGCGUGUGUGAAGAAGGCCUGCGGGUUGUAAAGCACUUUUAGUGGGGAUGAAAAGCUCAGGGCUAACACCUCUGGGUCUUGACCUAACCCACAGAAAAAGCACCGGCUAACUCUGUG
rnacentral:rRNA from 1 species